CGGUGGAGCAGUGGUUUAUUCGAUGCAACGCGAAGAACCUUACCUACUCUUGACAUCCAGAGAACUUGGCAGAGAUGCUUUGGUGCCUUCGGGAACUCUGAGACAGGUGCUGCAUGGCUGUCGUCAGCUCGUGUUGUGAAAUGUUGGGUUAAGUCCCGCAACGAGCGCAACCCUUAUCCUUUGUUGCCAGCGCGUAAUGGCGGGAACUCAAAGGAGACUGCCGGUGAUAAACCGGAGGAAGGUGGGGAUGACGUCAAGUCAUCAUGGCCCUUACGAGUAGGGCUACACACGUGCUACAAUGGCGUAUACAAAGGGAAGCGACCCCGCGAGGGCAAGCGGAACUCAUAAAGUACGUCGUAGUCCGGAUUGGAGUCUGCAACUCGACUCCAUGAAGUCGGAAUCGCUAGUAAUCGUAGAUCAGAAUGCUACGGUGAAUACGUUCCCGGGCCUUGUACACACCGCCCGUCACACCAUGGGAG
rnacentral:rRNA from 1 species